CACGUAGGGCGCAAGCGUUGUCCGGAAUUAUUGGGCGUAAAGAGCUCGUAGGCGGUCUGUUGCGUCCGCUGUGAAAACCCGAGGCUCAACCUCGGGCCUGCAGUGGGUACGGGCAGACUAGAGUGCGGUAGGGGAGAUUGGAAUUCCUGGUGUAGCGGUGGAAUGCGCAGAUAUCAGGAGGAACACCAAUGGCGAAGGCAGAUCUCUGGGCCGUAACUGACGCUGAGGAGCGAAAGCGUGGGGAGCAAACAGG
rnacentral:rRNA from 1 species